GCGGAGGUCGCCAAGAGGUCAAAGGCGCAGCGUUGAGGUCGCUGUCUCGUAGGAGUUCGUGGGUUCAAAUCCCUCCCUCCGCA
rnacentral:tRNA from 1 species